CAUUCCCAAAUCAUCCGAUUCAACCAAUUUUCACCAAGCACAUCCCUUUUUUGACUAAUUAUAUAUCUAUUGGGAAUGUGAAGAUUGAUGACAAUUGAAAUAAGAGAACUUGCAAAAAGUUUCAACAUAUAACCAAACACUUUUAAUUUCCAGCUUCAAUAAGUAGAGUGGUGAGUAAAACCCAGCUCAGGCUAUUGAACAGCAUUAUCGAAUUCAAUAGUUGAUCAAAUUUCAGACCAAGUACUCACAAUCAGAUGCAAUUCCAGAAACCGUACAAUAUUACAUAGAAGAAGGUAAGAGAUUAGAUUAACUCACGCUAAAGCUUUGCUCAAGCAAAGACAAAGAGACCACCAAGAGCGAGAGAAGACGAGAGCCUUCACAGCAACGUCGUUUUAGGUUUCAUUAAUUAACCUAAUUAAAUUAAACGAUUAAUAGCGAGGAAACUAAAAAAAGUCUAAUUAAAAGAAGCGGGACGACAACUAAACCCUACGCUACAUAAAAAGGCGACCUUUAAGAAUUUUGACCGGCGAUUGUA
rnacentral:telomerase_RNA from 1 species